CGCCUAUCCAAUCGAUCCCAAAUUUUCUAUCGCUCUUCUUCUCUCCCCUUCUUCCACUCUUCUCAAUUCUCAUUUUCUUCAGGGUUUUCUUUGCAGAUAAAUUGCCGUGUUAGGUCAAUAAAUUCCAGAUUAUGAUGGGCUCACGUAACCUACCAUUCAAUGGGGAAGACAUAGAAUGGAGUUCAUUUAUGAAAGGUUAUCGCGGUGCGUGGUUCCGAUUGUGUAGGGAACAGGAAGAGCCAGUAGUAAGAGUUAACAAGUAUAGUAUUUGCAAAGCAAGUUUUGACAGUAUUCUUUUUCAUAAAAGUAUUGGGUUGGUCUAUUUCAAUUGAGGAUUUUCCGGAGUUCUCAUUAACAGAUUCUGAAACUGAAACUGGCGAAUCAAAGAUGAAUUAGUAUCAAGAUGCAAUCACUAAUUUGGCAUGAGGAUGUCAACAGCGUCUCGUGCUCCAGUGGUUGGGAGUAAGGCUUUCGUGUUAGAAUGAGGAUGAGAUUGAUGAUCCUAAGCUUAAGGAGUUUUUGCAGGUGAUCCAACCUAGGAUAGUAGAAAAGAGAGCAGAGGAAGAAGGGGAGUGAAGAAAGAGCAGAGCAGAAGGAUGAUUCGGUCCUUAUCAGUCUUUCGGUCCCAAAAAAAAUCAAGCCCGACACCGACCCGAUAAAUUGUAAUUCGGGUAGGGCUUUGCACCGAACCGGUAUUUUCCAAUACAAAACCGAACCAAAUCGGGCUUUUUUGAUCGGUUCGGGCAGGGUUCUUGGGUUCUUGGGUUCUCGGGUCCAGACCCCUAGCCCUACUUUAAAAUGCAGGCACCCAUGAUGUUUGAGGUAUGAGUAAUCGUCUACAUACUCUUUAAGAGCACCUGUAUUCUAUUUAAUUCAUACAUCAAGGAAUUACUUACCAUUUAGGUAA